rnacentral:rRNA from 1 species
GACAGAGGGUGCAAACGUUGUUCGGAAUCACUGGGCUUAAAGGGCGCGUAGGCGGGCUGCCAAGUCCGGGGUGAAAUCUUUCGGCUUAACCGGAAAAUAGCCUUGGAUACUGGUAGUCUCGAGGGAGGCAGGGGCCGUUGGAACUUCCGGUGGAGCGGUGAAAUGCGUAGAGAUCGGAAAGAACACCAACGGCGAAAGCACUCUGCUGGGCCGACACUGACACUGAGAGACGAAAGCUAGGGGAGCGAAUGGG